rnacentral:rRNA from 1 species
AUAAAAACUGGCGGCGAGCUUACACAUGCAAGUCCAACGGUAGCAGGAAGAAGCUUGCUUCUUUGCUGACGAGUGGCGGACGGGUGAGUAAUGCUUGGGAAUCUGGCUUAUGGAGGGGGAUAACUACUGGAAACGGUAGCUAAUACCGCGUAAUAUCGGAAGAUUAAAGGGUGGGACUUUCGGGCCACCUGCCAUAAGAUGAGCCCAAGUGGGAUUAGGUAGUUGGUGGGGUAAAGGCCUACCAAGCCUGCGAUCUCUAGCUGGUCUGAGAGGAUGGCCAGCCACACUGGAACUGAGACACGGUCCAGACUCCUACGGGAGGCAGCAGUGGGGAAUAUUGCACAAUGGGGGGAACCCUGAUGCAGCCAUGCCGCGUGAAUGAAGAAGGCCUUCGGGUUGUAAAGUUCUUUCGGUGAUGAGGAAGGCGAUUGUUUUAAUAGAACAAUCGAUUGACGUUAGUCACAGAAGAAGCACCGGCUAACUCCGUGCCAGCAGCCGCGGUAAU